UACCUAAUACGGGAGGCACACGUUUGCCCGCUAGACGCGUCCAAAAAAAGAGGGUUUGAUUUUUAGCCACUACUAACUUUACACUUUGAUAAUUUAAAAUGUUUUUGCGAACCCACUUAAGUUGCAUGGUUAGAGGGAUUGUGGUAUCCCUAGCUCAUCAGGUUCAAGUCCUGGUGCUCGCAUUAUUCCUGGAUUUAUUUCAGAAUUUUUGGCGAUGCGCUUUCAGUGGGAGGAGACGUCCCGUCGACGACGAGGCGUCUAUGGUGACUUCGUAAAUCUCAAGAUAAUACACUGACUCAGUUUCUUAUUUCAGGAUUUCCGACGAUACGCUUUCAGUGGGAGUAGACGUUUCCGUCGACGACGAGGCGCCUAUGAUGACUUCGUAAAUCUUAAAAUGAUAUACUUUCUUAUUUCAGGAUUUCCGGCGAUACACUUUCAGUGGCAGGAGAUGUUCCCGUCGACGAUGAGGCGCCUACAGUAACUUCGUAAAUCUCAAGAUGAUAUGCCGGCUCAGUUUCUCAAAAAUGCUCAUAGGGAUAGGGUGUGCGUGUGUGUUCAUAGAGGUGAGCGUAUGCACGUAUGUAUGAGCGCUUGUGUCUGUACUGUGUUAAAAAAAGCUAAUUUAUAUUUUUUCCGGUGGCAGGACCGCGCGCUCCCAUGUGCCAACCCCUCUUCUCUUUGAAUCAACAUGAGGUUAAAUUUCGUGUUUUGAUCCUUUUGCCUUAGUUUAGUCAAAUCUGACCCCAGUUCGAAAUCAUUUCAGGAUCUGACCCUUUCGCUACCGCGAGGGCCCAUGAUGGUAGGGUUGAACAAGCUACCGUCGGAGACCACGAUGGUAGGGUUGAACAAGCUACCGUCGGAGACCACGAUGGUAGGGUAAUGGCAGCCUCCGUCAAACUACCGGUUGCAGCCUGACGUGUCGUAACUCCUCUAUCGCCGAGGCAGAUGGUGGUAGGUUAGCUAACAUUACCGCCACCUCCCUCAGCGGUAGGGUGUGACAGGCCUGCGCGAGCGCCAGCUUGCUGUGACAGAAAAUGCAGGUGUUUUUGCGGUAGGAUUUCACAGCCUACCGCCACCUCCCGCGGCGGUAGGCAGCCUACCGCUAGGGUACCUGACGGUAAGCUGUGAAAUCCUACCGCCGCUGCUCCUGGCAGUAGGGUCCUCUCUCCCUAAUAUUUUUACAAGAAGUUGGCAAUUUUUUUGAAUUUUUACUGUGAGGCAAAGCCCCACGGCCCUUUAUUAAAAUCAGAGGGAACUGCACAAACAGAAGGAACUAUGUACAAAAGGUAAGAAGAAAGAACCUACCUAUGCCUACCUAUAAUUACAAGAAAGUACCAAUCCAUGCAAGCAGCUUAUGUUUGUUACUAUCUUUAAACCUAUGAGCUAGAAGAGAAAUAUCAUGGAUGAAUUUACAUCUCCAGGCACUGAAAGUG
rnacentral:lncRNA from 1 species